rnacentral:rRNA from 1 species
UACGUAGGCAGCAAGCGUUGUUCGGAAUUACUGGGCGUAAAGAGUGUGUAGGCGGUGCUCCAAGCCUGGUGUGAAAUCUCCCGGCUCAACUGGGAGGGUGCAUUAGAAACUGGAAUGCUAGAGGAUGGGAGAGGUAAGCGGAAUUCCUGGUGUAGCGGUGAAAUGCGUAGAGAUCAGGAGGAACACCUGCGGUGUAGACGGCUGGCUGGACCACGACUGACGCUGAGGCACGAAAGCGUGGGGAGCAAACAGG